rnacentral:rRNA from 1 species
UACGAAGGGGGCUAGCGUUGCUCGGAAUUACUGGGCGUAAAGGGCGCGUAGGCGGACAGUUAAGUUGGGGGUGAAAGCCCGGGGCUCAACCUCGGAAUUGCCUUCAAUACUGGCUGUCUUGAGUGUGAGAGAGGUGUGUGGAACUCCGAGUGUAGAGGUGAAAUUCGUAGAUAUUCGGAAGAACACCAGUGGCGAAGGCGACACACUGGCUCACUACUGACGCUGAGGCGCGAAAGCGUGGGGAGCGAACAGG